AACGAACGCUGGCGGCACGCCUAAUACAUGCAAGUCGUACGAGAAAGUUGGGCAACCCGAGUGAGUACAGUGGCGCACGGGUGAGUAACACGUAGGUGACCUGCCCUUUAGAGUGGGGAUAACAGGAAGAAGUUUCUGCUAAUACCACAUACGUUGAGAGAAAGUGAAAGUUAUCUCAGGAAAGAUGGCGACCCUUUUAUAGGAGCUAUCGCUAAAGGAGGCCUGC
rnacentral:rRNA from 1 species